UAUAGUUCUUCGGAGCUAGAGACCGGCGCACGGGUGCGUAACGCGUAUGCAACCUACCUUUCACAGGGGGAUAGCCCAGAGAAAUUUGGAUUAAUACCCCAUGGUAUAUUAGUAUGGCAUCAUAUUAUUAUUAAAGUUCCAACGGUGAAAGAUGGGCAUGCGUCCCAUUAGCUAGAUGGUAAGGUAACGGCUUACCAUGGCGACGAUGGGUAGGGGUCCUGAGAGGGAGAUCCCCCACACUGGUACUGAGACACGGACCAGACUCCUACGGGAGGCAGCAGUGAGGAAUAUUGGUCAAUGGGCGCAAGCCUGAACCAGCCAUGCCGCGUGCAGGAUGAAGCAUCUAUGGUGUGUAAACUGCUUUUAUACGGGAAGAAACCCUGCCACGUGUGGCAGAUUGACGGUACCGUAAGAAUAAGGACCGGCUAACUCCGUGCCAGCAGCCGCGGUAAUACGGAGGGUCCAAGCGUUAUCCGGAAUCAUUGGGUUUAAAGGGUCCGUAGGCGGUCAGGUAAGUCAGUGGUGAAAGCCCAUCGCUCAACGGUGGAACGGCCAUUGAUACUGCCUGACUUGAAUUACUGGGAAGUAACUAGAAUAUGUAGUGUAGCGGUGAAAUGCUUAGAUAUUACAUGGAAUACCAAUUGCGAAGGCAGGUUACUACCAGUUUAUUGACGCUGAUGGACGA
rnacentral:rRNA from 1 species